UAGGUUGAUUUCUCCCGCUCAGGACGAACGCUGGCGGCGUGCCUAAUACAUGCAAGUCGAGCCAGAUGGGAGCUUGCUCCCUGAUGUUAGCGGCGGACGGGUGAGUAACACGUGGGUAACCUGCCUGUAAGACUGGGAUAACUCCGGGAAACCGGGGCUAAUACCGGAUGGUUGUUUGAACCGCAUGGUUCAGACAUAAAAGGUGGCUUCGGCUACCACUUACAGAUGGACCCGCGGCGCAUUAGCUAGUUGGUGAGGUAACGGCUCACCAAGGCAACGAUGCGUAGCCGACCUGAGAGGGUGAUCGGCCACACUGGGACUGAGACACGGCCCAGACUCCUACGGGAGGCAGCAGUAGGGAAUCUUCCGCAAUGGACGAAAGUCUGACGGAGCAACGCCGCGUGAGUGAUGAAGGUUUUCGGAUCGUAAAGCUCUGUUGUUAGGGAAGAACAAGUGCCGUUCAAAUAGGGCGGCACCUUGACGGUACCUAACCAGAAAGCCACGGCUAACUACGUGCCAGCAGCCGCGGUAAUACGUAGGUGGCAAGCGUUGUCCGGAAUUAUUGGGCGUAAAGGGCUCGCAGGCGGUUUCUUAAGUCUGAUGUGAAAGCCCCCGGCUCAACCGGGGAGGGUCAUUGGAAACUGGGGAACUUGAGUGCAGAAGAGGAGAGUGGAAUUCCACGUGUAGCGGUGAAAUGCGUAGAGAUGUGGAGGAACACCAGUGGCGAAGGCGACUCUCUGGUCUGUAACUGACGCUGAGGAGCGUAAUGUCUUGGCU
rnacentral:rRNA from 1 species